rnacentral:lncRNA from 10 species
AUGGAAGAGGAAGACAGAGGGUCCGGAGGAAGGGACGGAUGGUCUGAGUUGACAUCUAGGACAUUUAGAGUAGUGACUGGGGCUUAGGGCAAGGCUCAAAAGCCCCUGCCCAGGAGAUGGUCAGAGCCGGAGACUCCUGGCUGUCAUCAACCUGUCAGCACCGUCAUCUAGCAGGAGUCAGCAUCCUUGGAGUUGGAGAAGGGAGACCAAGAAAUGUCCACAAACAUAGAAAUACUUGUCAAAGAGGAAGAGGGUCUGAUCCUCUUCUGUGAAACUCCACAGAGCGGAACAACGAUGGGGAAGUGGAUGUUAGAGGGAGGCAGAUUUCAACUCACAAUGACGAAGAACACGCUGGCCGUGAGAACCGCCAGCAGCUGUACGGUGGGUCUGGUGCGUAUGUGGUGAGCUCCAUUUCUCUGGUGCCUCCCGGCAAGCACAGUGCAACUGUGGUGCUCCAGGAAGGGGAGGUGGAAGGGAGACACAGCCACUCUGCUUUCAGAGGCAGGUGGAGGAGCAUGUCUGCGACCAGGCGGCCGGUGUCACUUAGGGCCCAGCCACGUGCUGAAGAGAGAUGCUUCCCAGGCUGGUUAAAGGCCAAUUCUGCUUCAGAGCAAGAUGAAUAGGAACAGGGAGUAUAGACUCUGAAGCCUGAUUGACAAGCUCCUGCCCUCAGCCCUCAGGAGGGUUUUGGAAACGGCCCGCCUCAGCCAUCUUAGGAUUCUUGUCCAUGGAAAACAACUGCAGGCUGGACCUGAGCAGAUAGGAAGGAAGCCUGGAGCCAACUUGCUGCCCAGCCCAAGGCCAAGCUGGGCUCUAGAACCUGACCGAGGCAGGUAAUCCAUGGCGCUGGAGGCCUUGGGAGGCACCUGCCCCACUGACUCACAAGGUGGGGCUCAAUUUGGUAAUGUGAACCCCAGGAUUGGGGGUUAGAACUCCCAUGUUGGAUUGGCUUCCUCAGGGAGGAAACUCAAGGUCUUGUCUACUCUUUCCCUUCCACUUUCAUCUAGAGCUGUCCCCCAGCAUUAGGACCCGCCAUGCUCAUUUCUUGGAGGGGAGUGGAGAGGGUGCAGGCUGUGGGAGCCCUCACGAGGGUGUAGGGUGAAGUGCAGGACAGAGUUGCUGAGCAGCCCAAAGCUAUUUUCAGAUCAAAUACUUUGUCUUUAGAUUGUGCUCCCUGCUGAGGUCAUGAUGAGAUAAACCUAUGUGGCAUGCCCCUCUUCUCCUCAAUCAGUAGACUCUGUCAAGAUUCUACACAAAGGGUGCCACAGUUCUCUGCCAACUAAGAAGGCUAUGGGGCCUUGGGAAGAUGGACAGGGUCCAUUUCUUUCAGGCUGAGUCCUCUGGGACUAUCUGGGGGGAAGGUGUGCAUCAGGCUGGUUUUCACUGCCUCCCCACAGGAGCUGGGCCUCUCAGGAAAUGUCUACAUUUGUCUGCCAGGGCAACGACCUCAGAGAAAUCCCAGUUAUGGUGUCAUAUUCUAGGACAGACAUAUGCCUCACCAACCAGACUAUUCCCUGCAAGCUGCCAUCUUGCCUUCCUUGGUCUUUCCAGAGUGAGAACCUGUACCUAGCAGCCAGCAAUGGGGGAAGAACCAAAAGUGGACAAAAGCAGCAAUGGGCGGAGCCAGUUGCCUGGGAAAUGAGGCCACUGAGGUGCUGGGAGACCAAUCCCCUCCACAAACCAGGAGAAGGCUGGGAAGGUGGGAUGUGCUUCAUCAGACCUCUGGGUGCAGCAGGCAUGGAUUUGAGGGCUCACUGCUAUCAAAGAGUAGCCAAAGGGUGGGUCUAAUUCCAGCACCAGUUCUUCCUCCCCUCAGCCAGAGAGUGAGCACCUAAGCCUGGCAGUCAGCACAGGGCACAGCUCCUGCUAAGCCUUGGGGCAAAGCAAUGUGGAGGGAUGGGGAGAGGAAGUCGGUACUGAGGAAGGUAGACUCAGGGACCAAAUCCACAGUGAGCUUUCUAUCUGAGACCGGUGGACAAAACCCUC